UCACUCCAUUGAUUGUCAGGGUUGAUUCAGCUGAUCUGGCUGGCUAGG
rnacentral:snRNA from 1 species